AAAAUGCCAGAGUCAGCCAAGUCCGUUCCUGCCCCGAAGAAGGGCUCUAAGAAGGCAGUGACCAAGGCGCAGAAGAAGGAUGGCAAGAAGCGCAAGCGCAGCCGCAAAGAGAGUUAUUCUGUGUACGUGUACAAGGUGCUGAAGCAGGUCCACCCGGACACCGGCAUCUCGUCCAAGGCCAUGGGCAUCAUGAACUCGUUCGUCAACGACAUCUUCGAGCGCAUUGCGGGCGAGGCGUCGCGCCUGGCGCAUUAUAACAAGCGCUCGACCAUCACGUCCAGGGAGAUCCAAACGGCCGUGCGCCUGCUGCUGCCCGGGGAGCUGGCCAAGCACGCUGUGUCUGAGGGCACCAAGGCUGUCACCAAGUACACUAGCUCCAAGUAAACUUGCCAAGAGGAGCAAAUGGGCUUUAGAAAUGUAUUUUCUCACCACUGGUCACUGCUGGACACUGUUGCAUCUCACAAAUAAGUCAAUGAAAAUGAUACUAGAAGAAGAUAAAAGGAGCAGUGGAACCUGGGCGAUUCCGUGCAGAGGGUAUUCGAGGCAUUCAACUUUUGGCCGUGAAACAAA